UGGAUUUGGUGAUUGAUCGCUGAGAGUUGAUUUCUCAGAGGAAAGUCCGGGCUUCAUGCGGGCAAGGUGCCGGAUAACGUCCGGCGUCAGAGGUUGAAAAAUCUCUGGUAGGGAAAGUGCAACAGAAAAUAUACCGCCUUUUGUUUGUUGGCAACCUCAAAUGAAGGUAAGGGUGAAAUGGCGUCGGUAAGAGCGCACCGCACGGCCGGUAACGGAAGUGGCAUUGCAAACCCCACCUGAAGAAAGACCAAAUAGAGGUGACUCGAAUGAAAUAUUAAUUGUUUUGUUCGUGAUGGCCCGCGUUCAUCGUCACCUGGGUAGGUCGCUCGAGCUCACCGGUAACGGUGUGCCUAGAUGAAUGAUCAAUCAGAAGAUUUUUUCUUCGGACAGAACCCGGCUUACAGCCAGAUUCACACC
rnacentral:RNase_P_RNA from 1 species